rnacentral:siRNA from 1 species
GAGAGCGGGUCGCCGCGUGCC